rnacentral:rRNA from 1 species
CCUACGGGUGACAGCAGUGAGGAAUAUUGGUCAAUGGGCGAGAGCCUGAACCAGCCAAGUCGCGUGAGGGAGUACUGCCCUAUGGGUUGUAAACCUCUUUUGUCGGGGAGCAAAAGCCGGACGUGUCCGGCUGUGAGAGUACCCGAAGAAAAAGCAUCGGCUAACUCCGUGCCAGCAGCCGCGGUAAUACGGAGGAUGCGAGCGUUAUCCGGAUUUAUUGGGUUUAAAGGGUGCGCAGGCGGAUUUUUAAGUCAGCGGUAAAAUCGUGGGGCUCAACCCCAUCCAGCCGUUGAAACUGGGGAUCUAGAGUGUGCGAGAGGUAUGCGGAAUGCGUGGGGUAGCGGUGAAAUGCAUAGAGAUCACGCAGAACCCCGAUUGCGAAGGCAGCAUACCGGUGCACAACUGACGCUCAGGCACGAAAGCGUGGGUAUCGAACAGGAUUAGAUACCCGGGUAGUC